rnacentral:rRNA from 1 species
UACGAAGGGGGCUAGCGUUGUUCGGAAUUACUGGGCGUAAAGGGCUUGUAGGUGGCCAACUAAGUCAGACGUGAAAUCCCUCGGCUUAACCGGGGAACUGCGUCUGAUACUGGAUGGCUAGAGUGUGGGAGAGGGAUGCGGAAUUCCAGGUGUAGCGGUGAAAUGCGUAGAUAUCUGGAGGAAACCCGGUGGCGAAGGCGGCAUCCUGGACCACGACUGACACUGAAAAGCGAAAGCCAGGGGAGCAAACGGG